CACGGAGUUAGCCGGUGCUUCUUCUGUAGGUAACGUCAAAUAAUGCAGGUGUUAACUACACUACCUUCCUCCCUACUGAAAGUGCUUUACAACCCGAAGGCCUUCUUCACACACGCGGCAUGGCUGCAUCAGGGUUUCCCCCAUUGUGCAAUAUUCCCCACUGCUGCCUCCCGUAGGAGUCUGGACCGUGUCUCAGUUCCAGUGUGGCUGAUCAUCCUCUCAGACCAGCUAGGGAUCGUUGCCUUGGUGAGCCAUUACCUCACCAACAAGCUAAUCCCACCUGGGCUAAUCCUGACGCGAGAGGCCCGAAGGUCCCCCUCUUUGCUCCGAAGAGAUUAUGCGGUAUUAGCUAUCGUUUCCAAUAGUUAUCCCCCACAUCAGGGCAUAUUCCCAGGCAUUACUCACCCGUCCGCCGCUCGCCGCCCUUAACGUUCCCCGAAGGUUCAGUUAAGUCGCUGCCGCUCGACUUGCAUGUGUUAGGCCUGCCGCCAGCGUUCAAU
rnacentral:rRNA from 1 species